rnacentral:rRNA from 1 species
AAUCUUCCACAAUGGACGGAAGUCUGAUGGAGCAACGCCGCGUGAGCGACGAAGGUUUUCGUAUCGUAAAUCUCUGUCGUAAGGGAAGAACACGUACGGGAGUCACUGCCCGUACCUUGACGGUACCUUAUCAGAAUGCCACGGCUAACUACUUGCCAGCAGCCGCGGUAAUACGUAGGUGGCAAGCGUUGUCCGGAAUUAUUGGGCGUAAAGCGCGCGCAGGCGGUCCUUUAAGUCUGAUGUGAAAGCCCACGGCUCAACCGUGGAGGGUCAUUGGAAACUGGAGGACUUGAGUACAGAAGAGGAAAGCGGAAUUCCACGUGUAGCGGUGAAAUGCGUAGAGGUGUGGAGGAACACCAGUGGCGAAGGCGGCUUUCUGGUCUGUAACUGACGCUGAGGCGCGAAAGCGUGGGGAGCAAACAG